rnacentral:rRNA from 1 species
UACGUAGGGUGCAAGCGUUAUCCGGAAUUAUUGGGCGUAAAGAGCUCGUAGGCGGUUUGUCGCGUCUGCUGUGAAAACUGGAGGCUCAACCUCCAGCCUGCAGUGGGUACGGGCAGACUAGAGUGCGGUAGGGGAGAUUGGAAUUCCUGGUGUAGCGGUGGAAUGCGCAGAUAUCUGGAGGAACACCGGGUGGCGAAGGCGGGCAUCCUGGACCAAGUAACUGACGCUGAGGAGCGAAAGCGUGGGGAGCGAACAGGA